rnacentral:rRNA from 2 species
GACUCUACGGGAGGCAGCAGUAGGGAAUCUUCGCAAUGGACGAAAGUCUGACGGAGCAACGCCGCGUGAGUGAUGAAAGGUUUUCGGAUCGUAAAACUYUGUUGUCAGGGAAGAACAAGUGCCGGAGUAACUGCCGGCGCCUUGACGGUACCUGACCAGAAAGCACGGCUAACUACGUGCCAGCAGCCGCGGUAAUACGUAGGUGGCAAGCGUUGUCCGGAAUUAUUGGGCGUAAAGCGCGCGCAGGCGGUUUCUUAAGUCUGAUGUGAAAGCCCCCGGCUCAACCGGGGAGGGUCAUUGGAAACUGGGAAACUUGAGUGCAGAAGAGGAGAGUGGAAUUCCACGUGUAGCGGUGAAAUGCGUAGAGAUGUGGAGGAACACCAGUGGCGAAGGCGACUCUCUGGUCUGUAACUGACGCUGAGGCGCGAAAGCGUGGGGAGCGAACAGGAUUAGAUACCCUGGUAGUCCACGCCGUAAACGAUGAGUGCUAAGUGUUAGAGGGUUUCCGCCCUUUAGUGCUGCAGCUAACGCAUUAAGCACUCCGCCUGGGGAGUACGGUCGCAAGACUGAAACUCAAAGGAAUUGACGGGGGCCCGCACAAGCGGUGGAGCAUGUGGUUUAAUUCGAAGCAACGCGAAGAACCUUACCAGGUCUUGACAUCCUUUGCCACUUCUAGAGAUAGAAGGUUCCCCUUCGGGGGACAAAGUGACAGGUGGUGCAUGGUUGUCGUCAGCUCGUGUCGUGAGAUGUUGGGUUAAGUCCCGCAACGAGCGCAACCCUUGAUCUUAGUUGCCAGCAUUCAGUUGGGCACUCUAAGGUGACUGCCGGUGACAAACCGGAGGAAGGUGGGGAUGACGUCAAAUCAUCAUGCCCCUUAUGACCUGGGCUACACACGUGCUACAAUGGAUGGUACAAAGGGCUGCGAGACCGCGAGGUUUAGCCAAUCCCAUAAAACCAUUCUCAGUUCGGAUUGCAGGCUGCAACUCGCCUGCAUGAAGCUGGAAUCGC